rnacentral:rRNA from 1 species
AUUGAACGCUGGCGGCAGGCUUAACACAUGCAAGUCGAACGAGUGGCGGACGGGUGAGUAAUGUAUGGGGAUCUGCCCGAUAGAGGGGGAUAACUACUGGAAACGGUAGCUAAUACCGCAUACCAUCAGAUGAACCCAUAUGGGAUUAGCUUGUAGGUGAGGUAACGGCUCACCUAGGCGACGAUCCCUAGCUGGUCUGAGGGGAUGAUCAGCCACACGGGGACUGAGACACGGCCCAGACUCCUACGGGAGGCAUCAGUGGGGAAUAGUGCACAAUGGGCGCAAGCCUGAUGCAGCCAUGCCGCGUGUAUGAAGAAGGCCUGAGGGUUGUAAAGUACUUUCAGUCGGGAGGCGUUACCGACAGAAGAAGCACCGGCUAACUCCGUGCCAGCAGCCGCGGUAAUAC